CACCGCGGUUAUACGAGAGGCCCAAGUUGACAGAUACCGGCGUAAAGAGUGGUUAAGAUUCCUUAUUCAACUAAAGCCGAACGCCUCCAGAACUGUUAUACGCCCCCGGAGGUAAGAAGUUCCACCACGAAAGUGGCUUUAUUUAACCUGAACCCACGAAAGCUAUGUCA
rnacentral:rRNA from 1 species